GAUUAAGUUAUAAAGGGCGCACGGCGAAUGCCUUGGCAUCAGGAGCCGAAGAAGGACGUGAUAAGCUGCGAUAAGCUUUGGGUAGCCGCAAAUAGGCAGAGAUCCAAAGAUUUCCGAAUGAGGAAACUCACAUGGGAAACCCCAUGUAUCCUGUAAUGAAUAAAUAGUUGCAGGAAGGUAAACCCAGGGAACUGAAACAUCUAAGUACCUGGAGGAAGAGAAAGAAACAUCGAUUCUCUAAGUAGCGGCGAGCGAAAGGGGAAGAGCCCAAACCAAGAAUUUAUUCUUGGGGUUGAGGACAGAACAUAAAAUGAAUGGUAAUCUUAGUCGAACACAACUGGAAGGUUGGGCCGCAGAGUGUAAAAGCCACGUAAGCGAAAAGAUAAUAUUCUAAGUUCUGAUCCAGAGUACCACGAGACACGUGAAACCUUGUGGGAAGCAGGGAGGACCACCUCCCAAGGCUAAAUACUACCUGAUGACCGAUAGUGAAGCAGUACCGUGCGGGAGGGGAGUGAAAUAGAACCUGAAACCGUGUGCCUACAACCGGUCAGAGCACUUUAUAUGUGUGAUGACGUGCUUUUUGUAGAACGAGCCAGCGAGUUACGGUAUGUAGCGAGGUUAAGGACUUAAGGUCCGGAGCCGAAGGGAAACCGAGUCUUAAAAGGGCGAAAAGUUGCAUGCUGUAGACCCGAAACCAGGUGACCUAUCCAUGGUCAGGUUGAAGCGAAGGUAAAACUUCGUGGAGGACCGAACCACGUUGGUGUUGAAAAACCAUGGGAUGAACUGUGGAUAGCGGAGAAAUUCCAAUCGAACUUGGAGAUAGCUGGUUCUCCCCGAAAUAGCUUUAGGGCUAGCGUUGAGAAUGAGUAGUGGAGGUAGAGCACUGAAUGGGCUAGGGGGCAUAGAGCUUACUGAACCUUAUCAAACUCCGAAUGCCACUAACUUGAAUCUCAGCAGUCAGACUACGAAUGAUAAGAUCCGUGGUCAAAAGGGAAACAGCCCAGACCAUCAGCUAAGGUCCCAAAGUGUAGAUUAAGUGGAAAAGGAUGUGGGAUUUCUAAGACAACUAGGAUGUUGGCUUAGAAGCAGCCACUCAUUUAAAGAGUGCGUAAUAGCUCACUAGUCAAGAGAUCCUGCGCCGAAGAUGUCCGGGGCUAAAAUCUACCACCGAAGCUAUGGGUGUACACUAGAUGUACGCGGUAGGGGAGCGUCCUAUGUUGGAAGAAGUUGUACCGAAAGGAGCAGUGGACGACAUAGGAGUGAGAAUGCUGGCAUAAGUAGCGAGAAGUGAGUGAGAAUCUCACUGGCCGAAAACCUAAGGUUUCCUGAGGAAGGCUCGUCCGCUCAGGGUUAGUCGGGACCUAAGCCGAGGCCGAAAGGCGUAGGUGAUGGACAAUCGGUUGAUAUUCCGAUACCACUAUAAGCGUAUGACCAAUGGGGUGACGCAGGAGGAUAAGAUGUGCUAACUAAUGGAUGUUAGUCUAAGCACUUAGACAGUAAAGAUAGGCAAAUCCGUCUUUAUAAUGUUGAGGUGUGAUGGGGAAGGUGCAAGCACCGAAGUAUCUGAUUCCACGCUGCCAAGAAAAGCCUCUAGGGAGCAAAGUAGUGCCCGUACCGCAAACCGACACAGGUAGGUGAGGAGAGAAUCCUAAGGCCAUCGGAAGAAUUGCAGUUAAGGAACUCGGCAAAUUGACUCCGUAACUUCGGGAGAAGGAGUGCCAUAGAAAUAUGGUCGCAGAGAAUAGGCCCAAGCAACUGUUUAGCAAAAACACAGGUCUCUGCUAAAGCGAAAGCUGAUGUAUAGGGGCUGACGCCUGCCCGGUGCUGGAAGGUUAAGGGGAACACUUAGUUUAGGCGAAGGUGUGAACUUAAGCCCCAGUAAACGGCGGCCGUAACUAUAACGGUCCUAAGGUAGCGAAAUUCCUUGUCAGGUAAGUUCUGACCCGCACGAAU
rnacentral:rRNA from 1 species